UACGUAGGCAGCGAGCGUUGUUCGGAGUUACUGGGCGUAAAGCGUGCGCAGGCGGCUCCUUAAGUCAGAUGUGAAAGCCCCGGGCUUAACCUGGGAACUGCGUUUGAAACUGGGGAGCUAGAGUGUAGAAGAGGGGGGUGGAAUUCCAGGUGUAGCAGUGAAAUGCGUAGAGAUCUGGAGGAACACCGAUGGCGAAGGCAGCCCCCUGGGCUAACACUGACGCUGAGGAGCGAAAGCGUGGGGAGCAAACAGG
rnacentral:rRNA from 1 species